rnacentral:rRNA from 1 species
UACGUAGGGGGCUAGCGUUGUUCGGAUUUACUGGGCGUAAAGGGCGCGUAGGCGGCCUUCUAAGUCGAACGUGAAAUCCCCGGGCUCAACCCGGGAACUGCGUCCGAUACUGGAAGGCUUGAAUCCGGGAGAGGGAUGCGGAAUUCCAGGUGUAGCGGUGAAAUGCGUAGAUAUCUGGAGGAACACCGGUGGCGAAGGCGGCAUCCUGGACCGGUAUUGACGCUGAGGCGCGAAAGCGUGGGGAGCAAACAGG